rnacentral:rRNA from 1 species
UACGUAGGGUGCAAGCGUUGUCCGGAAUUAUUGGGCGUAAAGAGCUCGUAGGCGGCCUGUCGCGUCCGCUGUGAAAACUCGGGGCUCAACCCCGAGCUUGCAGUCGAUACGGGCAGGCUAGAGUUCGGCAGGGGAGGACUGGAAUUCCUGGUGUAGCGGUGAAAUGCGCAGAUAUCAGGAGGAACACCGGUGGCGAAGGCGGGACUCUGGGCCGAUACUGACGCUGAGGAGCGAAAGCGUGGGGAGCGAACAGG